rnacentral:rRNA from 1 species
CCUCAAAUCAGGUAGGACUACCCGCUGAACUUAAGCAUAUCAAUAAGCGGAGGAAAAGAAACUAACAAGGAUUCCCCUAGUAACUGCGAGUGAAGCGGGAAAAGCUCAAUUUAAAAUCUGGUGGUCUCCGGCCAUCCGAGUUGUAAUCUAGAGAAGUGUUACUCGCGUCGGACCGUGUACAAGUCUCCUGGAAUGGAGCGUCAUAGAGGGUGAGAAUCCCGUCUUUGACACGGACCCCCGAGGCUUUGUGGUGCGCUCUCAAAGAGUCGAGUUGUUUGGGAAUGCAGCUCAAAUGGGUGGUAAAUUCCAUCUAAAGCUAAAUAUUGGCGAGAGACCGAUAGCGAACAAGUACCGUGAGGGAAAGAUGAAAAGAACUUUGGAAAGAGAGUUAAACAGUACGUGAAAUUGCUGAAAGGGAAACGCUUGAAGUCAGUCGCGUCGGCCGGAAAUCAGCCUUGCUCUUGCUUGGUGUACUUUCUGGUCGACGGGCCAGCAUCAGUUUUGACCGGUGGAUAAAGUUGUGAGGAAUGUGGCAUCUUCGGGUGUGUUAUAGCCUGCUUCGUAUACAUCGGUUGGGAACUGGAGCAACUUCGACAGCCGCC